CUGGCUCAGGAACAACGCUGGCGGCGUGCCUAAUGCAUGCAAGUCGUACGGGAGCCGCUUUGGCGGUCGACCGUGGCGGACGGGUGAGGAACACGUGGGUAACCUGCCCCGGCGCGGGGGAUAACCGCGGGAAACCGUGGCUAAUACCCCAUGGGCUCGGUUGGGGGGUGGCCUGAUCGAGCAAAGGCGGAAGCCGUGCCGGGAGGGGCCUGCGGCCUAUCAGCUAGACGGUGGGGUAAUGGCCUACCGUGGCGAUGACGGGUAGCUGGUCUGAGAGGACGAUCAGCCACACGGGGACUGAGACACGGCCCCGACUCCUACGGGAGGCAGCAGCAAGGAAUUUUCCGCAAUGGGCGCAAGCCUGACGGAGCGACGCCGCGUGGAGGAUGACGCCCUUCGGGGUGUAAACUCCUUUUCGGGGGGACGAAGGCAGUGACGGUACCCCCGGAAGAAGCACCGGCUAACUACGUGCCAGCAGCCGCGGUAAGACGUAGGGUGCGAGCGUUGUCCGGAGUUACUGGGCGUAAAGGGCGCGUAGGCGGCUGCCCGCGUCGCACGUGAAAGCCCCCGGCUCAACCGGGGAGGGUCGUGCGAGACGGGGUGGCUAGAGGCAGGGAGAGGCUGGUGGAAUUCCCGGUGUAGCGGUGAAAUGCGUAGAGAUCGGGAGGAACACCGGUGGCGAAGGCGGCCAGCUGGCCCUGACCUGACGCUGAGGCGCGAAGGCGCGGGGAGCGAACGGGAUUAGAUACCCCGGUAGUCCGCGCAGUAAACGCUGUGGACUAGGUGUGGGAGGUGUUGACCCCUUCCGUGCCGGCGCUAACGCAGUAAGUCCACCGCCUGGGGAGUACGGCCGCAAGGCUAAAACUC
rnacentral:rRNA from 1 species